rnacentral:rRNA from 1 species
AUGAACGCUAGCUACAGGCUUAACACAUGCAAGUCGAGGGGCAUCGGGAAGAAAGCUUGCUUUCUUUGCCGGCGACCGGCGCACGGGUGAGUAACACGUAUCCAACCUGCCCUUUACUCGGGGAUAGCCUUUCGAAAGAAAGAUUAAUACCCGAUAGCAUAAUGAUUCCGCAUGGUUUCAUUAUUAAAGGAUUCAUUCCGGUAAAGGAUGGGGAUGCGUUCCAUUAGGUUGUUGGUGAGGUAACGGCUCACCAAGCCUUCGAUGGAUAGGGGUUCUGAGAGGAAGGUCCCCCACAUUGGAACUGAGACACGGUCCAAACUCCUACGGGAGGCAGCAGUGAGGAAUAUUGGUCAAUGGGCGCUAGCCUGAACCAGCCAAGUAGCGUGAAGGAUGAAGGCUCUAUGGGUCGUAAACUUCUUUUAUAUAAGAAUAAAGUGCAGUAUGUAUACUGUUUUGUAUGUAUUAUAUGAAUAAGGAUCGGCUAACUCCGUGCCAGCAGCCGCGGUAAUACGGAGGAUCCGAGCGUUAUCCGGAUUUAUUGGGUUUAAAGGGAGCGUAGGUGGACUGGUAAGUCAGUUGUGAAAGUUUGCGGCUCAACCGUAAAAUUGCAGUUGAUACUGUCAGUCUUGAGUACAGUAGAGGUGGGCGGAAUUCGUGGUGUAGCGGUGAAAUGCUUAGAUAUCACGAAGAACUCCGAUUGCGAAGGCAGCUCACUGGACUGCAACUGACACUGAUGCUCGAAAGUGUGGGUAUCAAACAGGAUUAGAUACCCUGGUAGUCCACACAGUAAACGAUGAAUACUCGCUGUUUGCGAUAUACAGUAAGCGGCCAAGCGAAAGCAUUAAGUAUUCCACCUGGGGAGUACGCCGGCAACGGUGAAACUCAAAGGAAUUGACGGGGGCCCGCACAAGCGGAGGAACAUGUGGUUUAAUUCGAUGAUACGCGAGGAACCUUACCCGGGCUUGAAAGUUAGCGACGAUUCUUGAAAGAGGAUUUCCCUUCGGGGCGCGAAACUAGGUGCUGCAUGGUUGUCGUCAGCUCGUGUCGUGAGAUGUUGGGUUAAGUCCCGCAACGAGCGCAACCCCUGUACUUAGUUGCCAGCAUGUAGAGAUGGGAACUCUAAGUAGACUGCCGCGAAUAACGCGGAGGAAGGUGGGGAUGACGUCAAAUCAGCACGGCCCUUACGUCCGGGGCUACACACGUGUUACAAUGGGGGGUACAGAAGGCAGCUAGCGGGUGACCGUAUGCUAAUCCCAAAAUCCUCUCUCAGUUCGGAUCGAAGUCUGCAACCCGACUUCGUGAAGCUGGAUUCGCUAGUAAUCGCGCAUCAGCCACGGCGCGGUGAAUACGUUCCCGGGCCUUGUACACACCGCCCGUCAAGCCAUGGGAGCCGGGGGUACCUGAAGUACGUAACCGCAAGGAUCGUCCUAGGGUAAAACUGGUGACUGGGGCU